GUGGCUAUGUUGCCUUCCAUGGCAAAACAGGCUUUGCAGCUGUGAUGGAAUCGAGGAUCCAGAUGUGGGGAGAUGAUCCCGGCUUAUCCAGAAAAACAUUGAAGAAGCCAGGUGCGGUGGCUCACGCCUGUAAUCCCAGCACUUUGGGAGGCCGAGGUGGGUGGAUCACCUGAGGUCAGGAGUUCGAGACCAGCCUGGCCAACAUGGUGAAGCCCCAUCUCUACUAAAAAUACAAAAUUAGCCGGGCCUGGUGGCACAGCUACUCGGGAGGCUGAGGCAGGAGAAUCACUUGAACCGAGGAGGCGGAGGUUGGAGUGAGCCAAGAUCGCGCCAUUGUACCCUAGCCUGGGCAACAAGAGCAAAACUCCUUCUCAAAAAUAAGAAAAAAAAAUUGAACAUGCUUUUCUUAUAUAUGCUAAAAAGUUGACAACUGUUAUGGACUGAAUGUUUGCCCCCCUUAUCCCCUAACUAGAUGUUGAAAUCCUAACCCCAGUGUGCUGGUAUUAGGAGGUGGGAUCUUUGGGAGGUAAUCAGGUCAUGGGGGCAGAACUCCCCAUGAAUGGGAUUAGCGCCCUUAUAAGAAGAGGCCUGAGAGCUACUUUGCUCUCUUUCCACCAUGUGAGGAUACAACCAGGCCAACAACCCGGUUCUCACCAGAACCUGACCACAGGGGCACCCUGAUCUUGGAUUUCCAG
rnacentral:lncRNA from 1 species